GCCAGGGAAGGGGAAGCCCUGGGAGCUGGAGGUGCUGCUCGGCUGCAGCACUGGGGCGCGAUGGGGCGGCUGCAGAAGCCAGAUAAACUGCAGCGAGAGGUGAUGGUUCAAAGGGACCCGGGAGAUCUCUGAGCCGCGUCCUUCCAAACUUUUCCUUGUUCAUUUAUCUACCUCUGAUAAUUUGACCAAAAUCUAAUGGAUGAAGUACCAGGGAGGCACCUGGAUAUUUUAAAGAUGCGGUGCUGCAUUUCAAGGACUAAGCCUGUUUCAAGAAAUAUUACACUACCAUACACCCCAAAUCCGACCUUGCUGAGGAGGACGCUCGCUGACAGACCUUGGGAAGGCCACCGAGACUGGACCUUUAAAGAGCCAGCUAACAUAUGCGCUCAAGCAUUUUAAAAGAGCAGGACGAGAUCCUUCCUGGACUGCUAAUGGCAACCUUGCUUACUGUUUGGUGCAGCGAGGACGUUCCAGAGGAGAGAAGCUUGGGCAAGGUUUUGCAGAAGGUGAGGAGGGGGAGCUGGGGUUUGCUGCCUGAUGGUGGAGAACGGGGCAGGGAUGGGACUGCUGAGGGGGGAACAGGGCAGUACCAAGCAGGAUGCUGAGCACUGGUUGUGGGGCUGGUGUCCGUGCACUGAGGGGCUCGGGAAGCUCUGUGGGUCCCCAGGACAGGCACCACUGACCUGAGGCUGCAGCAGAUGUGUGUGACAAAGGCGAUGCAGCAGCUCUGUCUUGCUGGAUCAUUCGGGAAGAGGCGUGCAGGGGCAGGUGAGGAGUCUCCAGGUCGCGUCCUGGGGAGCAGAGCCCUUAUCACAGAGGAGGCCUGUUGAGACUUCUGUCGCAGACAUGGGGUUUGUAUCGGGAACCGACACAGAAAAGCCCUCGGGUCUGAUCUCUGGCCUAACACAGCCCAGAUGAGUGCGAGACCCCUCUGGCCCUAAAUGGCUGAUCUGUCGUUAGAAAACACCUGGCAGCGUGACUGGCAUCCCUGGGAGG